UACAGAGGUCUCAAGCGUUGUUCGGAUUCAUUGGGCGUAAAGGGUGCGUAGGUGGCGCGCUAAGUCAGGUGUGAAAUUCGGAGCUUAACUCCGAAACUGCAUUUGAUACUGGCGUGCUUGAGGACUGGAGAGGAGACUGGAAUUCAUGGUGUAGCAGUGAAAUGCGUAGAGAUCAUGAGGAAGACCAGUGGCGAAGGCGGGUCUCUGGACAGUUCCUGACACUGAGACACGAAGGCCAGGGGAGCAAACGGG
rnacentral:rRNA from 1 species